ACUACUUGGAUAACCGUGGUAAUUCUAGAGCUAAUACAUGCUAAAAAUCCCGACUUCGGAAGGGAUGUAUUUAUUAGAUUAAAAACCAAUGCCCUCUGGGCUCUCUGGUGAUUCAUGAUAACUUCUCGAAUCGCAUGGCCUUGCGCCGGCGAUGGUUCAUUCAAAUUUCUUCCCUAUCAACUUUCGAUGUUUGGGUAGUGGCCAAACAUGGUUGCAACGGGUAACGGAGGGUUAGGGCUCGACCCCGGAGAAGGAGCCUGAGAAACGGCUACUACAUCCAAGGAAGGCAGCAGGCGCGCAAAUUACCCAAUCCCGAUUCGGGGAGGUAGUGACAAUAAAUACUGAUACAGGGCUCUUUUGGGUCUUGUAAUUGGAAUGAGUACAAUUUAAAUCCCUUAACGAGGAACAAUUGGAGGGCAAGUCUGGUGCCAGCAGCCGCGGUAAUUCCAGCUCCAAUAGCGUAUAUUAAAGUUGUUGUGGUUAAAAAGCUCGUAGUUGAACCUUGGGCCUGGCUGGCCGGUCCGCCUCACCGCGUGUACUGGUCCGGCCGGGUCUUUCCCUCUGUGGGACCCCAUGCCCUUCACUGGGUGUGGCGGGGAACAGGACUUUUACUUUGAAAAAAUUAGAGUGCUCCAGGCAGGCCUAUGCUCGAAUACAUUAGCAUGGAAUAAUGAAAUAGGACGUGCGGUUCUAUUUU
rnacentral:rRNA from 1 species